rfam:Oryctes borbonicus contig942, whole genome shotgun sequence.
CCAACGGUUCUUUUCAGAACCACAAUUUACUUUCGAAUAAUAAAGG